AUCAAGUACCUUAAUUUUUUUCUGUGUAGGAUAUUUGGGAUCAAACGAGUUUAAAAGCACUAGGGAGGAAGUAUUGGAUAACAUGGAUGAGGAAGAGGCAGAAUUAUCGGAUACCAUGGAGUACUCAGGAUCAAAUAAUAGCACUGAUGAGGAAGCAGAUGUAUCGGAUAACAUAUAUGUAGGGAACGUCACUGAAGAAACACAUACAUCAAAAAAGGCACUUGAAAAUGAUUCUCUCCAGAGGAGAUCAGUGUUUACAUGGAUUCUUGGUUGCUUAAUUAUGUCUGUUUGGUCUUUAUCUGUUUGAAGAUGGUUGAUCAAUAGAACAGAUAUAUAGUACCAAGAAGAAAACAUUUGAUUUAACUUUAUGUGAUUUAUUUGUUAGCUCUAGAUAAAAUGAUCACAAAAUUGU